rnacentral:rRNA from 1 species
CAGGCCUAACACAUGCAAGUCGAGCGGGCAUCGCAAGAUGUCAGCGGCAGACGGGAGAGUAACACGAUGGGAACAUGCCCUUCGGUUCGGAAUAACCCAGGGAAACUUGGACUAAUACCGGAUACGUCCGUAAGGAGAAAGAUUUAUCGCCGAAGGAUUGGCCCGCGUCCGAUUAGCUAGUUGGUGAGGUAAUGGCUCACCAAGGCGACGAUCGUUAGCUGGUCUGAGAGGACGAUCAGCCACACUGGGACUGAGACACGGCCCAGACUCCUACGGGAGGCAGCAGUGGGGAAUAUUGGACAAUGGGGGCAACCCUGAUCCAGCCAUGCCGCGUGAGUGAUGAAGGCCUUCGGGUUGUAAAGCUCUUUUGGCGGGGACGAUGAUGACGGUACCCGCAGAAUAAGCCCCGGCUAACUUCGUGCCAGCAGCCGCGGUAAUACA